UUCUCAAAUACAAAUUUCACAAAGUAAAUUUUUGAUUAACAGAAAAAAUAUGAAUUAAAAAAAUAAUUGUAUAUUAUUAACAUAUUAUGCAACCGUGACCAAAGUCAGAAUCAUCAUUACAGUAUUGUGGACUUACUGCUUGUAUAAUAGUGAUAAACUUCAGGGGAGAUCAUGAUGUCAGAAAACUGUAAAUAACACUCUGAAGUCUGAAGCUGCUUUUCUUGUUUCUGUGACCUCAGCACGCUGACAGACUUGAAGUUGCUACAGAUUUUAAAAAGUGAUAAUUAUAGGGAAGAAACUUCUCUUUUUCAUCCAUUUAAUCAAACAUUUGAUGCCUCAGCUGUCUCAGUCCUAAAGCAUUCUGCAACUACAACUAACCUGAGGAGGCUUGGAUUUGGCUGCAGGUGCCCCUGUACAUCCUUCUCAGCAGCACACAUGUGGGUACCAUUUAAUCACACUUCUUCCUGAGCUUUGCUUCAUCACAAGGCUAAAGGUGGCAUCCCAUGUCACAGUCUUAUCAUCAUCCAAUUGGAGAAGAAACAUUUACAGGUCUCCUGGUUUUGUUUUCUGAUCCUGCAAACAGACUGAGGACAACAAAGCCCAGAGAACACGAGAUACACAACAUCCAACAUUCAGACUCAACAGCCUCCAUAAAUGAAGAGCACCAGAUCAAAAAAACAACAGCAGCAGCAGCAAGAAGCACAGCAGAAACUGACAGACCAACAAUCAGUCCAACAGAUCCACCCUCCUUCCCUCCAUCCUCCUUCCCUCCAUCCUCUGUGUCUCCUCCAGGCUGACCUGCAGGUGAGAAACAGGUGUGAGGUGUCAGCUGUCAGAUCCACCCGGUUCUUAAAAGAUGGAUGCUGGUUGUGUGAGUCAACGUGCCCGUCCCGGUACAAAAGCACAUAUUGAUCCCCCAGGUCGCUCCCAUAAAACACACAUCCAAGUUUUUCGGACACAAACGCCUGUGGGAGAUUAAUCAGAUUUGAACGGUCUCUGCCGCCGAGCUUUUCAGAUCGUUGCUCAGCACACUGUUAAAAAGCCACGCCUCCGUGCCUCUACGCCGAGGUUUAAGCUGGCGAGGCGCCGUGGGUAGGUCUACCGCGGCGAGGACGCCCAACCUUCGGAAUAUAAUAUAGAGCAUUCUUCACCGAGGGAGGUUUACCGGAGGCUGAACACUGAGCGAGGAUCUUGGUGUUCUCGGCUCAGGUGUGGACCGAGGGAAGUUUUGCUUCAGCUUGUGGCGAAACGGAUCAGAAGUUUCUGGCACCACAUCGUAGAUCCUUCCACGGAGACGAGCAUUAGAUCUAACAAUGGUGAUGAUGAUCCUGAUGAAGGCCACAAGCCAAAAUGUGUCAGUGGAGCAGUGAAGUUUUCUGAAUCAUUCAAAUGUUCUUCGAGAUCCAACUUUCUAUUUCCUUAUUGCUUCAGGACUCUGUGUGGUGAUUUCACUGACAGCUUAUUUAUUAAUAAGUAAUUAUUUAUAUUAUUGUUGAAAACAACUCCAAG
ensembl:lncRNA